CGAAAAGCUUUCUCCCAGUGCUUCUGCCAUGAGAGCAACAAUGACUCUGGCAAUGUGUUUCGACGAACAAUGCCCCAAGGAAAGAUUCAUGAUUACUUUGACACUUCCAAAGUUUAUUUUACAAUGCCGAACAUUAAUAUAAUCAACACAAUGAGUGCGAACUCGCACCUUUGGCUCGGCUGUGUCGGUCUCUUCUGAAUGUUUCAUCAACGAGGCACACAAAAAACAAAUGCCGAAUUGAUCAACAAUAUAUCUUCCAUUGAUGAUCUUUCAAAAUAUUUAAUUGCUUGUCUUUCAGAAGACAAUUUAAAAAAAAUUAACAACUCCACUCCUGACUCGGACUCCAUUUAUUUCGUGCAUAGCCGCUAUACUUCAUAUUAUACAAUUGAAGUGGAUCCAAACCAGAACAAAAAAUGUAAACAAAGCCCGCACAUGCGCAGAAUGGACUGUAAUCUAGCUUUAAAAGAAUUAGAACAUUAUGGUAUAAGAGGAAUAUGCUUAAAAUGGUUCGAAAAUUAUUUGAAAGAAAGAAAACAAAUAGUCAAAUUUAACCUUCAUGGAUCAAAAGAAAUGACUAUUACUACUGGUGUUCCUCAAGGAUCAAUUCUUGGUCCAUUGCUUUUUCUUCUAUAUGUAAACGCUAUAGAAAACUGUAGUGAUGUCCUUCUUUUGUUUUAUUUUCAGAUGACACAAAUGUUUUUAAUUCAAACUCCUGCUUAGAAUCUUUA